UUACAACUAAGCUCAUAUCCAAAGGUUCUAGAUAUAUCUAAUUUUAAAUUUGCAAAUCUCGGAAUCGCAAUCGAGUCCGAGAUUAACGAACGCGGAAAACAUCGGACGGUAUCGAUAGAAUCUCGGUUUGUGAGUUGUCCAAAUCUUGUUAUAGGCUUUCCAAAUAUCCUCAAGUAGGAUUCGUUCAAUGCGAUAUUUUUUUUAUCGUUCAAUGUGGGGGCCAUGUGAUUGUGAACGAGCUGAUAGUCGAUACUCCUCGAUGUCUUCACGAUAGGUAAUUUUUUUAUAUGUUGUAAUUUGUGUUUAUCCUUUUUAAUACAAUUGGAUGCGACUCGUGAUAGCUAACUAAUUUUCUACGUAGUCAAU
rnacentral:lncRNA from 1 species